rnacentral:lncRNA from 10 species
GGCUGAACUGCGAGGUGGCCACCAACACAGAGGCCCCACAGAGCGGCAGGACAGAGAUAUGGAGCUCUACAGCUCUGUGCAGAACCUGAACUGUCCCAGCUCAGCCAGAAAGCAUCGCUGGAGGGCAGCCUGGUGGAGACGGAGGUGUGUUAUGGGACCCAGCUGGCCCAGUUGCAGGGGCUCAUCAGAAGCAUGGAGUAGCAGCUGUGCGAGCUCUGCUGUGACACGAGGACCACGAGCACCAGGUCCUUCUGGAUGUGAAGACAUGGCUGGAGCAGGAGGUCGCCACCUACCGCUGCUUGCUGGAGGUUGAGAACACCCAGCUGGCCACUCAGUACUCCUUGUCCCUGGCCUCACAGCCCACCCGGGAAGGUAAGAAGCUGCCCUGUCCUGCUGUGUGGACCCUAAAGCAGGGGAGAGGCUGAGGACCCUUCUGUGUGUGAGACUAGGGGGAACACAGACUGGGGGACAGGUAGGGGGAAGAGCUCCUGCCUGAUGUUCCCUGAGCCCCCCCGCCUCCAUCGCCUGCAGCCACAGUGACCAGCCACCAGCUGUGCCAUCAUGGUGGAAGUCCAGGUUGGAGAGGUGGCCUCCUUCUGUGAGCAGAUCCAACUCUCCACCACCGAGGCCCCUUUCUGCCUGUGAUAGCCCCACCUCACGGGCCACGGCACAGCCCUCAGCUCCAGCUCCAGCAUGAUGCUGCCAUGCCCCGAGUGUCCGACUGGGCCCCAGUCCAUGGCCUGUAGUCUUUCUGUAUCUGCUUCCUGUAGCCCCACACUGAGGAGGCCUCCUGGGUUUGUCCAGUGCCUGCUAUUAAAGCUUUGCCCCAAGUUCAAUGCCUCGUGUGAUCUGGUCUAUUCAUUGGUUUGGGGCAGUGUGG